ACAGCAGCAGCCGCGGUAAUACAGAGGGUGCGAGCGUUAAUCGGAAUUACUGGGCGUAAAGCGUGCGUAGGCGGUUUGUUAAGUCUGCUGUGAAAUCCCCGGGCUCAACCUGGGAAUGGCAGUGGAUACUGGCAAGCUAGAGUGUGUCAGAGGAUGGUGGAAUUCCCGGUGUAGCGGUGAAAUGCGUAGAGAUCGGGAGGAACAUCAGUGGCGAAGGCGGCCAUCUGGGACAACACUGACGCUGAGGCACGAAAGCGUGGGGAGCAAACAGGAUUAGAGACCCCUGUAGUCCCUGUCUCUUAUAU
rnacentral:rRNA from 1 species